rnacentral:lncRNA from 1 species
ACGAAGUCCGUGCCGUCUCACAUAAGCAAUGUACAAGGAGCCAUGCCAAGUACAAGGAUAAAUGCAAUGCAUCAUCUUUGUGUACACUAAUGCACUCACCCUAAAGCAUAUUCAUGAUGCAUGAAGCAUGAUAAAAUAUCAGUUCUCAUAUUAAAACAUUAAGUUCCAUUCCACUCACCUGGUUAUCUCUGAACUGACUCUGCAGGUUCUGACACUGGACUCACUGCUGAC